UUCAUAAAAGUUUCAAGGUGCUUUUCUUUGGUUAAAAAGUUUGCAUUGCUGGGUUUUGAGGUUGGUUCUUUCUGAGUCCCUCACUGGUAUCUCGCUGUUGUUCGGUUGUUGUUAUUGGCUCUAUUAUUGCUGUGAUUAGUAGCUCGCGGAAAGUAGAGAACAUCACUACUGGUUAUCUAAUUUUUUUCUGCCACUAGGUAUGUCUCUCAACUUGUAAUGUGAGUUUGUUUAUCAUGAAUGAAUGCUGAAAUUUUUGCCCCCCCUACCUAAUUGCCUUUAGUUACUUCACAUGAAUAUUUGGUUUGUUGUACUUCUUUGAUUUGGGACUACGCUACUAUAUUUAGUUGUGUAUAUGCCUAACAUGAUAAUGAUAUAUAGUUUCAAAUCUUUUAAGUCUCAAGUACAAUAAGAAUAGUGUCGCCAUGUUAUUUAGUACUAAAAGUGUUACCGGAAGUUUUUGUAUUUUGGUCAAAACGUAAAAUUUUAGCCAUAGUUGCCCAACAAUAUAUUCUUGAGGUCCUUUCCAUGUUAGCCAGUCAAUAGGACGGUUUGAUGAUUUCAAAUAAACCAACAGUAAGUUAAAACUUGUUUAGUAGAGUGCAAGGUGGCUAUCAAGUUUAGGCUUUGAAUGUAUAAAAAAUUUCAGAGGUGGAAGUGGAGAGGUCAUUUACAUUUUCGUUCAUUCCUUAUCAGUGAAGUCAUUGACUAAUUGUCUUGAAUUUCAUGGAUAUUACAACGAGUACUGUGUUGCAUUAGUUGAGUUCUUUUUUUUUUUUUUCUUUUUUUUUUUUUUUUUUUAAAGUUGAGUCCUUGAAAUAAGUAUUUUGUUUUUUUUAUAUGGCAUAUAUCCAAAUUAAAGUUUCAGUAUUAAGUAUGUCUUGGUAGAUUCUUCUGGUUUAGUUUUAUUUCGCUACUAAUUUUAUUGUCACAUAGUGCCUUAGUUUUAGAUCAUAGGUGUUUAGCUCUAAGGUUUGUAUCUAUUUGACUAGAUGUUGAUGGACUAAAAUUUGAAGGUUUGGGAUAUUUAAUUUGAAAUGGUUGAAGUGUUUCCCGUUUGUUCCCUACUGUUAGACCCUUGACAAAGCUGAUCGGCAAGCGGCACGGUAGUAGUAAGGAUUUGGCAUGAUGGCCUUGCCAUUGGCCUAUGUGCGGGGGAAAUCAACAUGCAAGACAAUGUGGGUGUUGUCAAUGGCAACAAACUGUUGCAAGGGCAAGUGUGACGGACUACACUUCUAUUUGACGGCUAUGGUAUGACGGACUACACCAAAACAUGAGUGGGUUGCGUGCAAGCAAAGGCCAAGACCUUGACGGAACUAGGCAGGCUGGACGGAAGCUUGACAAGGCAAAACGGGAAAGACCUCGACGCUAAAAUGGGGCAGUUUAGUGCCAAGGUAGUGGCAUUGGCAAUAUAAUGUUUCCAUGACUUAGGUGAGCGGGCUGACACCUAAGGAACUUGUGGGCAGACUUGAUCAAGUAGAGGCGACUUGACAUGAGCGGGCUAAGUACCUAGG
rnacentral:lncRNA from 1 species